UACGAAGGGGGCUAGCGUUGCUCGGAAUCACUGGGCGUAAAGGGUGCGUAGGCGGGUCUUUAAGUCAGGGGUGAAAUCCUGGAGCUCAACUCCAGAACUGCCUUUGAUACUGAAGAUCUUGAGUUCGGGAGAGGUGAGUGGAACUGCGAGUGUAGAGGUGAAAUUCGUAGAUAUUCGCAAGAACACCAGUGGCGAAGGCGGCUCACUGGCCCGAUACUGACGCUGAGGCACGAAAGCGUGGGGAGCAAACAGGAGGAGAAACCCUAGGAGUCC
rnacentral:rRNA from 1 species